CGUAGGUGGUUUUGUAAGCGCGGGGUGAAAGGCAAUAGCUCAACUAUUGUAAGCCUUGCGAACUGUAAGACUUGAGUGCAGGAGAGGAAAGCGGAAUUCCUAGUGUAGCGGUGAAAUGCGUAGAUAUUAGGAGGAACACCAGUGGCGAAGGCGGCUUUCUGGACUGUAACUGACACUGAGGCACGAAAGCGUGGGGAGCAAACAGGAUUAGAUACCCUGGUAGUCCACGCCGUAAACGAUGAGCACUAGGUGUCGGGGCCGCAAGGUUUCGGUGCCGCAGUUAACGCAUUAAGUGCUCCGCCUGGGGAGUACGCACGCAAGUGUGAA
rnacentral:rRNA from 1 species